UUAUUAAAAAUACAGAACUCUACUCCUGCCUGCCUGUGUGUCUGCGAUUGGGGCCUCCAGCACUUCAUUUUGCAAAACUUUUCAAGCUGUAAAACUUAACUUGCAAAUCUUUUUAACUCACAAGCAAAAUAUUACUCUCAUAUGUCUAUUUGAUUGCAUAUUAAAGACUCACCUUCAUACAGGGUUCUGUGAAUGGGUGAAAAACCAGGAAGAUGCAUUCACCAAUGGAUGGUCAGUCUUGAAGGCCAAGUCAUUUGUGAGGGCAUCCGGCCAGCUUUUCUAUCUGGACUUGCUGCUGUGUUUUGUACUUACUACAAUUUCAAUUUGGAGUACCAAGCUGAAGCUGUAUGCACGAUGGAAUUCAUUCAGAGGCGCGUUAUUGGGAUUGAUCCAAAGCUGGAUGAGUCCUUUCGAAGAAGACGGGGAAGGUCACCCACAAAAAGGCAUCGGUCAACCACCGUGUCGCAACUCUUCUAAAAAGCCUGAUGGAUUUUGAGUGGGACUUCAUUUAAGUAUACCCAUCAGAUCAAUGGCUGUACUGACAACUGUGAGGCACAGGUUUCUUUCAUUUCUUAUUCUAGUUUAGGGCCAACAAACCAACUUUUGGUUCUAUUCAGCUACAUUUUCAGCCACAGCAGGCAGUGUGUUUUUGUUGCUUUCACUGUGCACUUUAACUUUUCAUUUUUUUUAAAUAGCUGAUUUAUUUUUAUUUUUGACAAAUGUUUAGGCUUUUGUUCAAGAUUUAAUAAAGAUACAUGUUUUGAAAUUA